rfam:Populus trichocarpa scaffold_9_contig_78, whole genome shotgun sequence.
UCUAUAACUCAAGAUAUAUCUCAAACACCGAACAGUGUCUGGGCCGUAAGACAGAUUCAGACUUCUCAUUUGUUUACGAUUUGAACUCUAAAACGACCCUUUUGAAUCUUGGACUCUUCAUAAAAGUUUUAAGCCUAUGUCUUAGCUUUCUAUC